AUUGAACGCUGGCGGCAUGCCUUACACAUGCAAGUCGAGCGCGAAAGGGGGCAACCCCGAGUAGAGCGGCGGACGGGUGAGUAACGCAUCGGAACGUGCCCAGUAGUGGGGGACAACCUCGAGAAAUCGAGGCUAAUACCGCAUACGACCCACGGGUGAAAGCGGGGGACCGCAAGGCCUCGCGCUAUUGGAGCGGCCGAUGUCCGAUUAGCUAGUUGGCGGGGUAAGAGCCCACCAAGGCGACGAUCGGUAGCUGGUCUGAGAGGACGACCAGCCACACUGGGACUGAGACACGGCCCAGACUCCUACGGGAGGCAGCAGUGGGGAAUUUUGGACAAUGGGGGCAACCCUGAUCCAGCCAUGCCGCGUGCGGGAAGAA
rnacentral:rRNA from 1 species